rnacentral:rRNA from 1 species
AGCGAACGCUGGCGGCAGGCCUAACACAUGCAAGUCGAACGAACCUUUCGGGGUUAGUGUCGGACGGGUGGGUACCACGUGGGAACGUGCCCUUAGGUGCGGAAUAACUCACGGAAACUUGAGCUAAUACAGAAGGUGCCCUUCGCGGGAAGGAUUAAUGGCCUUUAGAGCGGCCCGCGAGUGAUUAGCUAGUUGGUUGAGCUAAUGGCUCACCAAGGCGACGGUCAGUAGCUGGUCUGCGAGGAUGAUCAGCCACAUUGGGACUGAGACACGGCCCAAACUCCUACGGGAGGCAGCAGUGGGGAAUCUUGCGCAAUGGGCGAAAGCCUGACGCAGCCAUGCCGCGUGAAUGAUGAAGGUCUUAGGAUUGUAAAAUUCUUUCACCGGGGACGAUAAUGACGGUACCCGGAGAAGAAGCCCCGGCUAACUUCGUG